rnacentral:rRNA from 1 species
GACGAACGCUGGCGGCGUGCUUAACACAUGCAAGUCGAACGAUGAACCCGGAGCUUGCUCCGGCGGAUUAGUGGCGAACGGGUGAGUAACACGUGAGUAACCUGCCCUUGACUCUGGGAUAACUGCGGGAAACUGUAGCUAAUACCGGAUACGACCCUCGGCGGCAUCGCCAGGGGGUGGAAAGAAUUUCGGUCAAGGAUGGACUCGCGGCCUAUCAGCUCGUUGGUGAGGUAACGGCUCACCAAGGCGACGACGGGUAGCCGGCCUGAGAGGGUGACCGGCCACACUGGGACUGAGACACGGCCCAGACUCCUCCGGGAGGCAGCAGUGGGGAAUAUUGCACAAUGGGCGCAAGCCUGAUGCAGCAACGCCGCGUGAGGGAUGACGGCCUUCGGGUUGUAAACCUCUUUUAGUAGGGAAGAAGCGAAAGUGACGGUACCUGCAGAAAAAGCACCGGCUAACUACGUGCCAGCCGCCGCCGUAA